rfam:Caenorhabditis japonica strain DF5081 Contig16077.1, whole genome shotgun sequence.
UACCUGAUUGAUUCUGUCAGCGCGAUAUGCUCAAGUAAAAGAUUAAGCCAUGCAUGCUUUGAUUCAUAAAUGAAAUUGCGUACGGCUCAUUAGAGCAGAUAUCACCUUUCACGGAAUCCUGAAAAGGAUAACUGCGGAAAUUCUGGAGCUAAUACAUGCGACUAUACUCCAACGCAAGGCGGGGUGCAAUUAUUAGAACAGACCAAACGUUUUCGGACGUUGUUUGUUGACUCUGAAUACCGUCGUUUACUGUCAGUUUCGACUGACUCUAUCCGAGAAGGGUGUCUGCCCUUUCAACUAGAUGGUAAUCUAUUGGACUACCAUGGUUGUUACGGGUAACGGAGAAUUAGGGUUCGACUCCGGAGAGGGAGCCUUAGAAACGGCUACCACGUCCAAGGAAGGCAGCAGGCGCGAAACUUAUCCACUGUUGAGUAUGAGAUAGUGACUAAAAAUAUAAAGACUCAUCCUUUUGGAUGAGUUAUUUCAAUGAGUUGAAUAUAAAUUAUUCUUCGAGUAGCAAGGAGAGGGCAAGUCUGGUGCCAGCAGCCGCGGUAAUUCCAGCUCUCCUAGUGUAUCUCGUUAUUGCUGCGGUUAAAAAGCUCGUAGUUGGAUCUAGGUUACGUGCCGCAGUUCGCAAUUUGCGUUAACUGUGGUCGUGACUUCUAAUUUGCUGGUUUGAGGUUGGGUUCGCCCUUCAACUGCCAGCAGGUUUACCUUGAAUAAAUCAGAGUGCUCAAUACAGGCGCUUGCUUGAAUAGCUCAUCAUGGAAUAAUGAAACAGGACUUCGGUUCUUUUUGUUGGUUCUAGAAUUGAUCUAAUGGUUAAGAGGGACAAACCGGGGGCAUUCGUAUCAUUACGCGAGAGGUGAAAUUCGUGGACCGUAGUGAGACGCCCAAUAGCGAAAGCAUUUGCCAAGAAUGUCUUCAUUAAUCAAGAACGAAAGUCAGAGGUUCGAAGGCGAUUAGAUACCGCCCUAGUUCUGACCGUAAACGAUGCCAUCUCGCGAUUCGGAGGGUUCAUGCCCUACCGAGGAGCUACCCGGAAACGAAAGUCUUUCGGUUCCGGGGGUAGUAUGGUUGCAAAGCUGAAACUUAAAGAAAUUGACGGAAGGGCACCACAAGGCGUGGAGCUUGCGGCUUAAUUUGACUCAACACGGGAAAACUCACCCGGUCCGGACACUAUUAGGACUGACAGAUUGAAAGCUCUUUCUCGAUUUGGUGGUUGGUGGUGCAUGGCCGUUCUUAGUUGGUGGAGUGAUUUGUCUGGUUU